rnacentral:lncRNA from 1 species
AAUAUCAGUAUUAGUUAAUACCUGUAAUCACCAACCGCGGAAUUGACGGGUGUUAGUUAGUAAUAUUGGAGUUUGGUAAAUCGGAGUGGACGAGCUAACCACCGACAGUUAGGUUUCGGCGCCCAAACCGUUGCAGAAAACCUUUACAGGAUACAACACUAAGCAACACCUAGACCUUGGACUCCUUGAUAACUUGCAAGGGUCUCGGUGGACUGUGUGAGGGAUUGCUGAGUUGUGCAUUUUGUCCCUGCUCACGCGAAGGCGUACGAUCUGUGGCUUGCUUUGGCG